rfam:Selaginella moellendorffii unplaced genomic scaffold SELMOscaffold_6, whole genome shotgun sequence.
GGCCUAUUAGCUCAGUGGGUCAUAGCGUGGUGCUAAAAACCGCAAGUUGGAAACCUGCAUGGGCCA